rnacentral:rRNA from 1 species
AGCGAACGCUGGCGGCGUGCCUAACACAUGCAAGUCGAACGUGAAAGGGAGCAAUCCCAAGUAAAGUGGCGUACGGGUGAGUAACACGUAGGUAAUCUACCCCAGAAUCUGGAAUAACCGGCCGAAAGGCUGGCUAAUACUGGAUAGAGCGACGGAAUCCGUAAUUGGGUUUUUCGGGAAAGGGAGCCUGUAAAAAGGCCUUCGUUCUGGGAUGAGCCUGCGUCCCAUCAGCUAGUUGGUGAGGUAAAAGCUUACCAAGGCAAUGACGGGUAGCUGGUCUGAGAGGACGAUCAGCCACACUGGAACUGAAACACGGCCCAGACUCCUACGGGAGGCAGCAGUGGGGAAUCUUGCGCAAUGGACGAAAGUCUGACGCAGCAACGCCGCGUGAGUGAAGAAGGCCGUCGGGCUGUAAAGCUCUGUCGAGUGGGACGAAAAUGCUUGGAGUUCACAGCUCCAGGAACUGACGGUACCACUAAAGGAAGCACCGGCUAACUCCGUG